rnacentral:rRNA from 1 species
AUGCUGCCGUCUUCUCCUCCUACUCCGUCGGCCCCCGUCUCCUCUGCUUCCUCUGCCGCCUUGGACCGUGCUGCCGACGAACUGAGCCGGCUGCGGGAGGAUCUUCGGAGCGCGGACCUCCGCCUGGUGGCCGGGCGCCUGGAGUUAGUCUCCAGCUGGGCUAGCUCUGACGCCUCCGUUCGGGCGGCGCUGAGCCAGGCUGUGACGGCUUCCGAGGAGGGGAAGCAAGCCACCUCCCAAGCCAUGGCCGCCCGCGACGAGGCGCUGAAGGACGCUUCCACCGCCAAGGGCCAUUGCAAGACGCUGGAGGGCGAAUUGCAAGGGCUGCGUGAUGAGCUCGCCAAGGAGAUUCGCGACCGCCAGGCGAAGGAGGAGGAGAUGAAAGCUCGGGAGGCUGCUAUCAAGGAGCGCGACGCCGAAUUGUUAGCCGACCGUGACCAGCUGAAGACGCUGGAGCAGGCGCUGAAGGUGGAGAGGGUCGAGCUGGAUGCCGGGGCGAAGAUCCUGGCCGAAGACCGCACGGCCUUCGUGCUCUACGAGGAGAGGGCCCGCGUAGCGCUGAAAACGCUCUACGACGGGGGCCUGGAGAAGCCGCUGGCCGGAGCCAAGGAAGGCCCCGCUAAGCUGGUUCCCUUCCUCGUCGAGGCGCUUGAGGAGGUCGUGAUCGGCAUCGGCCCCAUGGCUAAAGUCGAGGCUCGCGUCCUCUCCUCCGCAGCACUGACGCGGAUCCUUAGCCACGUCUACCUCCGCAACCCCGACGCCAGCCUCGAUGACCUGCUGGAGCCCGUGGACGCCAAGUGCUCCGCCGCCGCCGCUGAAGCCGUCAAGGGUCGAGCGGAGGCCUUGCUGUCGAAGUUCCGCGCCUUCAACACCGCGCCCAAGCGAGGUGCUGCCGGCCCCGCAACUCCAGGUGGUGGGGCUACCAAGCGCGACUCUACCACGAGCGGUGGCGCGGCCCAGGGGUGA